rnacentral:rRNA from 1 species
UGCGUAGGCGGUUCUUUGUGUCCGCUGUGAAAGCCCCGGGCUUAACCUGGGAAUGGCAGUGGAAACUAGAGGACUUGAAUCUGGCAGAGGGGGGUGGAAUGCCACGUGUAGCAGUGAAAUGCGUAGAUAUGUGGCGGAACACCGAUGGCGAAGGCAGCCCCCUGGGCUGAGAUUGACGCUCAGGCACGAAAGCGUGGGGAGCAAACAGGAUUAGAUACCCUGGUAGUCCACGCCCUAAACGAUGUCAACUAGGUGUUGGGGAAGCAAUUUCCUAGUACCGCAGCUAACGCGUGAAGUUGACCGCCUGGGGAGUACGGUCGCAAGAUUAAA